CACACACACACACAUAUUUAUUGUUAUUAUUAUUACAGCUUGAUUAUGUGCUGGACCGAAAUCGCCCUGGCAGUGAAAUAAUUGUGAAGGAGGGGCAAGUGUGCCUUAUUCGAGAAGAAUUUUGGAGCCUUGGAUUGUUGAGGGACAUGGACUCCCAUAUUGGAAACGCCUGCAUGAAGCUUAUUUGUGAAAUGGCUCGACAAAUUGGCAAGGACAUAUACAUUGAGGACUUUUAUGUUGUC